rnacentral:tRNA from 1 species
UAAGAUUCUAAUAUGGCAGAGUAAUGCAAUAGAUUUAAGCUCUAUGUAUAAAGAUUUGUCUUUUAUUAGAA